CACAAUAGGGGCAGACCUGUCCAUCCUUCUCUGUGGGUCCCCUGUACCUUUCUCCCCCAACAGGAUCAGACCCAGAGGCAGCUGGUUGGGGUUUGUCGAGAAGAAGGAUUAUCCAGAUCAGUCCUUUCUAAUCUCAGCUCCUGCCUGUACCCUCCCAUACUCACCAAACCCUCUUCCCCACCACCCUGAGCUGAGGAGCACAGUUUGAGCCCCCCCAACCCCCCGCCGGUCGGGGCCAGGCCAGGCCAGGCCAGCUCCUCUGGCAGCAGAGCCUGGGCAGGUGACGGGCGGGCGCGGGCGUCGCAGCUGAGGGAGUAAGGAGGCUCCCAGGAACCGGAGCUGGAAACCCGGCCGAGGUCCAGCCAGAGCCCAAAGCCAGAGUGACCCCUCGACCUGUCAGCCAUGGGGGAGAUGGAGCAACUGCGUCAGGAAGCGGAGCAGCUCAAGAAGCAGAUUGCAAUGCCAGGAAAGCCUGUGCUGACGUUACUCUGGCAGAGGUAAGACCC
rnacentral:lncRNA from 1 species